AUUGAACGCUGGCGGAAUGCUUUACACAUGCAAGUCGAACGGCAGCACGGGUGCUUGCACCUGGUGGCGAGUGGCGAACGGGUGAGUAAUAUAUCGGAACGUACCGUAUUGUGGGGGAUAACUAGUCGAAAGAUUGGCUAAUACCGCAUACGCCCUGAGGGGGAAAGUAGGGGAUCGCAAGACCUUACGCAGAACGAGCGGCCGAUAUCUGAUUAGCUAGUUGGUGGGGUAAUGGCCUACCAAGGCGACGAUCAGUAGCUGGUCUGAGAGGACGACCAGCCAAACUGGAACUGAGACACGGUCCAGACUCCUACGGGAGGCAGCAGUGGGGAAUUUUGGACGAUGGGCGCAAGCCUGAUCCAGCCAUUCCGCGUGAGUGAAGAAGGCCUUCGGGUUGUAAAGCUCUUUCGCAAGGGAAGAAAGCUUACAUUCUAAUACAGUGUGAGGUUGACGGUACCUUGAUAAGAAGCACCGGCUAACUACGUGCCAGCAGCCGCCGUAA
rnacentral:rRNA from 1 species